UUGCGAGAUUGGAGCUUAGCAAUCUGUGGGCUGUUGCGGCUGAUGGAUCUGACUUGGUGUUCCUUGUUUGUUUAGAUCGUACAGGAAUCAUUCGCAAGCCCCGUGGUGUCAGUGACUCGGCUUUUCUCUAGUUGAGGGAGAGUGGAGAUCAUUUGGAAGCCUAAUCCUUGAAUUGGCUUAAGUACACAAGGAAGCUCUGUCCAUCCUGAUUGCAAGCCACUAGUGUCGAAUUGUUGUCUUUUACUGGAUACCGAGUCACAAAAACACACACUCCUUCCUCAUUUUCUUCUCUUAUUUUUCUACGUGUUUCAUUUAUACACUCCUUACGCAGAUUGUACACGUGUGUUGUGAAUAGGACUCUCACAGUCAACAUAUUAUGCAGAACAACAUUUUCUCAGCACGAAAUGAAAAGUUUGUU